UACAGAGGGGGCAAGCGUUAUUCGGAAUUAUUGGGCGUAAAGGGCGCGUAGGCGGUCGGACAAGUGGAAGGUGAAAUCCCCCGGGCUCAACCUGGGAACUGCCCUCCAAACUGUUUGACUUGAGUCCGGGAGAGGUGAGUGGAAUUCCCAGUGUAGCGGUGAAAUGCGUAGAUAUUGGGAGGAACACCAGUGGCGAAGGCGGCUCACUGG
rnacentral:rRNA from 1 species